UACGGAGGGUGCAAGCAUUAAUCGGAUUUAUUGGGCGUAAAGGGCGCGUAGGCUGGUUUGUAAGUCAGAUGUGAAAUCCCGGGGCUCAACCCCGGAACAGCAUUUGAAACUGCAUACCUAGAGGGUAGGCGGAGAAAACGGAAUUCCACAAGUAGCGGUGAAAUGCGUAGAUAUGUGGAAGAACACCGGUGGCGAAGGCGGUUUUCUAGCUUACUCCUGACGCUGAGGCGCGAAAGCAAGGGGAUCAAACAGG
rnacentral:rRNA from 1 species